rnacentral:misc_RNA from 1 species
UUAGUGACGAACAUGACCUUAACACCCUCGCCCAAUUCUGCGGUGACGAGACCAUUUGCGAGCACGUCUACGUACCGCGAUUGGCGCAGGAUGCCGAAGAAGAGCAAUCCGUUAUCCAAGUGACUGACGCGCCGCGAUGGCCGGCCACCCGUGCCGACAGACCACAGAUCGAAAGUGCUCGGUUGCUCUUCCCCGGUACUCCAACCCAUAGCGAACUCACCGUAGCGCGUGAGUUCGGCUUCGCCGAGCGUGAGAUCAACAGCGGUG